rnacentral:lncRNA from 1 species
AAAAAUCAGAGAGCGUAGGAUUGAAGAUUUGAAGGUUUAGGGUUUGAAGAUCAAUUUUUCAGGUAAGAUUUUUAAUCAUUAAAUUAAUAUUUUAUAUUCGUUAAUUAGUUUUAAACACUUUAGAUAUUCUUUGGAAUAUCUCAAUUUUGAUUAGAGUUUAUUUAAUUAAUUUCUAGGUCAAAAAGAUUAAAAAAUUUAUGAACAUAGUUUGAUUUAUUAAUGGAGAUCAAUAAAUUUUGAUCACUCAAAUGAAUAGAUCUAGAUAAAAAAAAUUAAAAAAAAAAUUAUAUAGUUUUGGAUGUGAAAAUUACAUAAAAUUGUGAGUACGGAGGUUAAAAGUUUUGACUUUAGAGAGAAAAAAAUAUGAUGAAAGAAUUGUAAGGAUUUGACAUGUUGAAAAAAAAAAAAAAGAAUUGCAUGGGGUAUUUGUUAAGUUUCGGUAGGAGAUUUAAAUAAUAGUAAUAAUAGUUUAAUGCAAAUAAAUAUUCUUAAAAGAUUUAUUUUAGAUAAGUUAGAAAAAAGGAAAUAAAUUAUUAUUUAGGAAGUUGAAAAUAAUAUUGGAUGGUAAUAAUAUUAAUAUGAGAAAUUAAUUAGGAUCCCUAAUAUUAAAUAAAAUAUUUUUAGGAUUUUCAAAUUUAUAUGUUUGGAUAAAUAAUCAAUAAUCAAUAAUGUGUAUGAUAUUAUGUUAGGUGACGAGGAAAUUCUUCAGAGUUAAAUACUUCAAGAUUUUGAGUGCUUCUUCAAGGUAAGGGAAAUUAAUGCAGAUUUUUAUAGAAGAAAAUAAUUUCCCGUUUUAUAUUGUAUUUUGAAAAGUAUAAAAAUAUGAUUUUUAUCUUUUUGCAUGGAUCAAAUAUGUGUUUUGUAUGAAAAGUAUAUUUGAGAAUCUUCUUUGUUUAUUUAUGAAAAGCGAAAUUUUUUGGAAAUAUGAUAUUUUGUUUUGCGAGUUUGAAUUAAUAAAAUAAAGUGUUUGACUCUGGUUUCUAUGACCCUAAUCAACGGGUUAUAAUUGUUGAUAUAUUUGGCCCUAAUCAACGGGUUAUAAUAGUUGAUAUUAUAUGACCCUGGUCAACGGGUUAUAAUAGUUAACUUUAUGGCCCUAGUCAACGGGUUAUAAUAGUUAACCUUAUGACCCCUAGUCAAUGGGUUAUAAUUAUUGACUUUUGGUUUUGUUCACCUUAAAUUGAACAAAUUUGAAACUAGUCACUCAUUUGUGAAAUCCCACCUAAUUGGGCACCAUUUUUUAUUUGAUAACAAGAGUAAAGAUAUUUUGAAUGCAUUUGUUUUGGUUUUGAUAAGAAAUUGCUUUGAAAUGGAUAUGAGAAAGUUUGUUGAAAAGUUUGAAUAUAUUAGUAUUUUGAAUUUAAAAGUUUUUUUAUGAAAAUAAGUAUAUGUUAUAUCUCUUAUUUGCAAACAUGAUUGAAAAUGUUUGAUCCAUGAAACUGCAUUGAUAUUCCUUAUUGAGCUUUAAGCUCAUGUCCCUUCAUUGAUAAUUUUUUAGGUACUCUCAGUUCGGAUGAUGAGUGAUGGCUAGGUUGGGGAAAUUUUUCUUUAUUAGGAUUUUGGUACAAACUUUAUUUUGGACAUUGUUUAGAUGUUAAAAUUCAUUUUUCGUUUAAAUUAUUUGAAUUUGGAG